rnacentral:lncRNA from 1 species
GGAGGAGGCCCGGCCGCGACCCGGGCCGCGCGCUGAGGAGCCGCCCGGUCGCCUGCGCGCUCCCUCCGGCGGCGUCCCCAGCCCGCGGCCCCUCUGCUGCCGGCCCCCGGCUCGCCGGCUGCGGGAGUGGCCUCAAGAUGGAUGAAGACGGCGGCGGCGAGGGUGGUGGCGUGCCUGAAGACCUCUCAUUAGAAGAGAGAGAAGAACUUCUAGACAUUCGUCGAAGAAAAAAGGAACUUAUUGAUGACAUUGAGGUUACCCUUCAUUCUUGGGAAAAUCAGAUAACCCAGAAUUGGUCUCUGGUUGAAGAAUAAGGAUGUAUAUUAUUUGGACCUUAGUAAUCAGCCUGCUGGAUAAAUGUGGAAUCGUAAUCUAGCUCUAACUACUUCAUUUUAUCAGUGAGCACACUGAGGCCCAGGGAAGUUGGAGGCUUCCAGAGAGGCUGAAAUAUGAAAUUGCAGAGGUGAUGACAGAGAUCGACAAUCUAACUUCCGUAGAGGAGAGCAAAACGACUCAGAGGAACAAACAGAUAGCCAUGGGAAGAAAGAAAUUCAACA